UACGUAGGGGCCGAGCGUUGUCCGGAGUUAUUGGGCGUAAAGCGCGCGCAGGCGGCCUCGCGCGCCCGACGUGAAAGCCCCCGGCUUAACCGGGGAGGGUCGUUGGGGACGGCGGGGCUUGAGGGCGGGAGAGGUCGGUGGAAUUCCCGGUGUAGUGGUGAAAUGCGUAGAGAUCGGGAGGAACACCAGUGGCGAAGGCGGCUACCUGGACCAGCACUGACACUGAGGCACGAAAGCGUGGGGAGCAAACAGG
rnacentral:rRNA from 1 species